GGUUGUAUGGAGUAGUUGGUUAACUUAGGAGAUUCUGAUCUUUCCGUCUAGGAAGUAGAUUCGAUACUUCUCUUGCCCUGGGUUCGAAUCCCAGUACGACCU